GGCUAACUGCGCGCGUGAACAGGGUAUCAGUCCAGGCGCUGAAUCUCAGACGUCUAGGCGUCGCGACGUGUAGCGUAUAGGUGGUGCGCUUAGCCGUGGCCGAAGGCACAAGUUUCCCAUGACCGGGGCGCCAGAGAAGGUGAUAGACCUGUAGCGCCUGAGGCCUAGGCUAAUUGUGCUUCCUUGGAGUCGGGUUGUUUGGGAUCGCAGCCCAAAGAAGGUGGUAAACUUCAUCUAAGACUAAAUACCCCUACGAGACCGAUAGCGAACAAGUACCGUGAGGGAAAGUUGCAAAGCACUUUGAAGAGAGAGUUAAAGAGGACGUGAAACCGGUAAGAUGGAAACGGAUAGAGCCAGCGAAGUCGCUCGUAUUCAGCCAAAGACUCGGUGUCGCCGGCUGUCGGGUUUCUAAUCGAGCACGGCAGUUGGUUGGCGCUGUUUCGAGGUGCAUUUGCGGGCGUUUGCGCCGAGACUUGCGGAGCAGCUCUUGGAACCGCGUCUAGAGGCUUCCCUCUGGGUUGUACCUGGUCGUGGCUACAGGUGUUUGCUCUGCUCGUACCUGGGUCUGGCCUACGGGGUCAGGUUGCGCCGUUGUUGCCUAGCGGUGGUAUCGCAUGCGAUGCCUAGCUUGGUGGCUGCGGUUCGGCUUGACUCCACUGACUCGCUCUCGGUGUAGAAGCUGGUCAUCUCUCCGACCCGUCUUGAAACACGGACCAAGGAGUUUAGCGUAUGCGCGAGCCAUUGGGUGCAAAACCCACAGGCACAAUGAAAGUAAAGGUCCAGUCCCUGGGCUGACAUGUGAGCGCCGCGGCUUCGGCCCUGGUGUGCAGCAUGGUCCCGUUGCAGUCGCUUGCGACGCAGCGGAGACAGAGCGUAUGCGCUGAGACCCGAAAGAUGGUGAACUAUUCCUGAGCAGGACGAAGCCAGAGGAAACUCUGGUGGAAGUCCGAAGCGAUUCUGACGUGCAAAUCGAUCGUCUGACUUGGGUAUAGGGGCGAAGAAUAAAUUCGAACAAUUUUUUU
rnacentral:rRNA from 1 species